rnacentral:rRNA from 1 species
AACGAACGCUGGCGGCAUGCCUAACACAUGCAAGUCGAACGAACCCUUCGGGGUUAGUGGCGCACGGGUGCGUAACGCGUGGGAAUCUGCCCUUUGCUUCGGAAUAACAGUUAGAAAUGACUGCUAAUACCGGAUGAUGUCUUCGGACCAAAGAUUUAUCGGCAAGGGAUGAGCCCGCGUAGGAUUAGGUAGUUGGUGGGGUAAAGGCCUACCAAGCCGACGAUCCUUAGCUGGUCUGAGAGGAUGAUCAGCCACACUGGGACUGAGACACGGCCCAGACUCCUACGGGAGGCAGCAGUGGGGAAUAUUGGACAAUAGGCGCAAGCCUGAUCCAGCAAUGCCGCGUGAGUGAUGAAGGCCUUCGGGUCGUAAAGCUCUUUUACCAGGGAUGAUAAUGACAGUACCUGGAGAAUAAGCUCCGGCUAACUCCGUGCCAGCCGCCGCGGUAAGAC